UAAGCCUGUGAAGGUGUGUCGUGAGGCAUGCUGGAGGUAUCAGAAGUGCGAAUGCUGACAUAAGUAACGAUAAAGCGGGUGAAAAGCCCGCUCGCCGGAAGACCAAGGGUUCCUGUCCAACGUUAAUCGGGGCAGGGUGAGUCGACCCCUAAGGCGAGGCCGAAAGGCGUAGUCGAUGGGAAACGGGUUAAUAUUCCCGUACUUGGUGUUACUGCGAAGGGGGGACGGAGAAGGCUAUGUUGGCCGGGCGACGGUUGUCCCGGUUUAAGCGUGUAGGUGUGUGUUCCAGGUAAAUCCGGUUCACUUUAACACUGAGGCGUGACGACGAGGCACUACGGUGCUGAAGCAACAAAUGCCCUGCUUCCAGGAAAAGCCUCUAAGCAUCAGGUAACAUCAAAUCGUACCCCAAACCGACACAGGUGGUCAGGUAGAGAAUACCAAGGCGCUUGAGAGAACUCGGGUGAAGGAACUAGGCAAAAUGGUGCCGUAACUUCGGGAGAAGGCACGCUGACACGUAGGUGAAGUGAUUUACUCAUGGAGCUGAAGUCAGUCGAAGAUACCAGCUGGCUGCAACUGUUUAUUAAAAACACAGCACUGUGCAAACACGAAAGUGGACGUAUACGGUGUGACGCCUGCCCGGUGCCGGAAGGUUAAUUGAUGGGGUCAGCGCAAGCGAAGCUCCUGAUCGAAGCCCCGGUAAACGGCGGCCGUAACUAUAACGGUCCUAAGGUAGCGAAAUUCCUUGUCGGGUAAGUUCCGACCUGCACGAAUGGCGUAAUGAUGGCCAGGCUGUCUCCACCCGAGACUCAGUGAAAUUGAACUCGCUGUGAAGAUGCAGUGUACCCGCGGCAAGACGGAAAGACCCCGUGAACCUUUACUAUAGCUUGACACUGAACAUUGAGCCUUGAUGUGUAGGAUAGGUGGGAGGCUUUGAAGUGUGGACGCCAGUCUGCAUGGAGCCGACCUUGAAAUACCACCCUUUAAUGUUUGAUGUUCUAACGUGGACCCGUGAUCCGGGUUGCGGACAGUGUCUGGUGGGUAGUUUGACUGGGGCGGUCUCCUCCUAAAGAGUAACGGAGGAGCACGAAGGUUGGCUAAUCCUGGUCGGACAUCAGGAGGUUAGUGCAAUGGCAUAAGCCAGCUUGACUGCGAGCGUGACGGCGCGAGCAGGUGCGAAAGCAGGUCAUAGUGAUCCGGUGGUUCUGAAUGGAAGGGCCAUCGCUCAACGGAUAAAAGGUACUCCGGGGAUAACAGGCUGAUACCGCCCAA
rnacentral:rRNA from 1 species